rnacentral:rRNA from 1 species
CCUACGGGAGGCAGCAGUGGGGAAUUUUGGACAAUGGGCGCAAGCCUGAUCCAGCCAUGCCGCGUGUGGGAAGAAGGCCUUCGGGUUGUAAACCACUUUUGUCAGGGAAGAAACGGCUUUUUCUAAUACAGAGAGCUAAUGACGGUACCUGAAGAAUAAGCACCGGCUAACUACGUGCCAGCAGCCGCGGUAAUACGUAGGGUGCAAGCGUUAAUCGGAAUUACUGGGCGUAAAGCGUGCGCAAGGCGGCUUUGCAAGACAGAUGUGAAAUCCCCGGGCUCAACCUGGGAACUGCAUUUGUGACUGCAUGGCUAGAGUACGGUAGAGGGGGAUGGAAUUCCGCGUGUAGCAGUGAAAUGCGUAGAUAUGCGGAGGAACACCGAUGGCGAAGGCAAGUCCCCUGGACCUGUACUGACGCUCAUGCACGAAAGCGUGGGGAGCAAACAGGAUUAGAUACCCUGGUAGUCCACGCCCUAAACGAUGUCAACUGGUUGUUGGCGUNUGCUGUCAGUACGAAGCAACGNGUGAGUGACCGCGNGGNGCGCGCGAGUAGAAGUAAAGUAGAGUAGNGNGNGAGAGNGCGACGGACGACACGAGGGGAGGAGG